rnacentral:rRNA from 1 species
GACGAACGCUGGCGGCGUGCUUAACACAUGCAAGUCGAACGGAAAGGCCCUGCUUUUGUGGGGUGCUCGAGUGGCGAACGGGUGAGUAACACGUGAGUAACCUGCCCUUGACUUUGGGAUAACUUCAGGAAACUGGGGCUAAUACCGGAUAGGAGCUCCUGCUGCAUGGUGGGGGUUGGAAAGUUUCGGCGGUUGGGGAUGGACUCGCGGCUUAUCAGCUUGUUGGUGGGGUAGUGGCUUACCAAGGCUUUGACGGGUAGCCGGCCUGAGAGGGUGACCGGCCACAUUGGGACUGAGAUACGGCCCAGACUCCUACGGGAGGCAGCAGUGGGGAAUAUUGCACAAUGGGUGGAAGCCUGAUGCAGCAACGCCGCGUGCGGGAUGACGGCCUUCGGGUUGUAAACCGCUUUCGCCUGUGACGAAGCGUGAGUGACGGUAAUGGGUAAAGAAGCACCGGCUAACUACGCG